GUGAGGAAUAUUGCGCAAUGGAGGCAACUCUGACGCAGCCAUGCCGCGUGCAGGAAGAAGGCGCUACGCGUUGUAAACUGCUUUUAACCGGGAAGAAACCCCAGGACGUGUCCUGGGUUGACGGUACCGGAGGAAUAAGCACCGGCUAACUUCGUGCCAGCAGCCGCGGUAAUACGAAGGGCGCAAGCGUUAUCCGGAUUCAUUGGGUUUAAAGGGUGCGUAGGCGGAGCGUUAAGUCAGUGGUGAAAUCCUGCAGCUUAACUGUAGACUUGCCAUUGAUACUGGCGCUCUUGAGUGCGCUUGAAGUGGGCGGAAUGUGCCGUGUAGCGGUGAAAUGCUUAGAUAUGGCACAGAACACCAAUUGCGAAGGCAGCUCACUAAGGCGAUACUGACGCUGAGGCACGAAAGCGUGGGGAUCGAACAGGAUUAGAAACCCGUGUAGUCC
rnacentral:rRNA from 1 species